ACUGACUAGCCACACACAGGAGGAGAGGCACCUAAACUCCAAUGCCUUAGUUUCCGCCUGUAAAAUGAUGUAGAGAGUUGAUAGAGCGGUUAAAAAAUCAGACAAUACCAUACUAGCCUAAGCACAGCGCCUGGCACACAAAGACUCCGCAGUAAAAGGCGGCUCCUAUUAUUGGAACAAUUAGCAUAGAAACUCAACUGCUGCCCCUCCAGGUGGGCCUCAGAGGGGGUCGAACAGGACCAGACCCAGGAGGGCCGCACACCAACUUACGGAGGGCUGGACUCUGCGUGCCUGUGAGCCCCGGAUCCAGGGACUAAGGCAGGAGGGGUGAGAGCAGGUGAAGCGGAAGACUGGAGGAAGCUGAGUCACCGGGGAGAGGGCCCGAUUCCGCCUCGCCGCGCCUCUGGUUGCCGGGCCUUGGGUUUUUUUCUCCUCCUGGGAGUAACAAGGACGACGGCUCCUAACCCUUGAAUUAGCCUUCUGUUUCCAUUAGUGACUUUGAAGCUACCCGGCGCCUCAUCUGGGCUCCCUUGAGCUGAGGAUCAGGAAGGGGAGGGACACAGUCCUUGCCUCGCGGGCGCGGCGAGACCCCGCGGAGGGAUUCGUGCGGACUUUGGGCACCGUUAUGCCCCCAAGCCCGACACCACCUGGGGCUGGCUUGCCACGUUACUGUUCGGGGCCCGACCCACCGCCCUGCUUGCUCCGGGGACCCGGACCUCCGGUCCCGGAGAUUGGGGACCCCGAGAGCUCAGACCCCACGGAGGUGACCAUGAGACAUCAGACCCCACGUGGGGACCCCGAGGCUUCAGACCCCCACAGGAGGACACCAAGACCUCAGACCCCACAGGGUGACCCUGAGAUCUCAGACCCCUGCAGGAGGACCUCGAUACCUUAGAUCCCCAGUAAGGGAGUGAAUGAGACUUAGGAUCCCUGAGGCAGCACAUCCCUGUGGGGGCAUCCCAGGACUCAGGUCACCGCGGGGUGAACCCAAACCUCACAUUCAGGCAGUCCCCAGGCCGCCGAUCGGCCGGACACUACCCACUAUCUCGGCCACCCCCUUGGAGCUCAAAGGCUUGGCCCUCCAGCUGCUCCGCCCUGCCGGCUCCCAGGCUCAAACCUCCCGCCCGCGGAUCCCCGCCCCGGAAGCAACCAGAUGCGCCGGAGGUUACCUGACUAGUCCAAGGUGAUACAGCUGGUAACUGAUGGAGAUGUUGAUACUGAAAUUCAUGUACUUUUAGUUAUUUCUAUUGAAUCUAGAUGUAGAAUACAUGUACAAGAAUAUCAACUACCGUCUACUCAA